AAUAGAUACCCUGGUAGUCCACGCCGUAAACGAUGUCGACUUGGAGGUUGUUCCCUUGAGGAGUGGCUUCCGGAGCUAACGCGUUAAGUCGACCGCCUGGGGAGUACGGCCGCAAGGUUAAAACUCAAAUGAAUUGACGGGGGCCCGCACAAGCGGUGGAGCAUGUGGUUUAAUUCGAUGCAACGCGAAGAACCUUACCUACUCUUGACAUCCACGGAACUUAGCAGAGAUGCUUUGGUGCCUUCGGGAACCGUGAGACAGGUGCUGCAUGGCUGUCGUCAGCUCGUGUUGUGAAAUGUUGGGUUAAGUCCCGCAACGAGCGCAACCCUUAUCCUUUGUUGCCAGCGGUCCGGCCGGGAACUCAAAGGAGACUGCCAGUGAUAAACUGGAGGAAGGUGGGGAUGACGUCAAGUCAUCAUGGCCCUUACGAGUAGGGCUACACACGUGCUACAAUGGCGCAUACAAAGAGAAGCGACCUCGCGAGAGCAAGCGGACCUCAUAAAGUGCGUCGUAGUCCGGAUUGGAGUCUGC
rnacentral:rRNA from 1 species